rnacentral:misc_RNA from 1 species
GUGAAUCAUCAAAUUUUUGAACGCAAAUUGCACUCUCCUCGGAGAGUAUGCCUGUUUGAGGGUCAGCCUAUAAAAAAUCGACAUCGUUGUUGUUCCGCGGUGGCGUCCGUCGGAAAUUGGGCCAUUUUAAUUCUUUUUGAUUUAAGCGAUUUAAAAUUUUCUUUUGGUCCCAUGAACGUUCUUAAGAUCUAUUUCUUUACACGUUUAAGGUAUCGAUUUUUAUUAGACGUAACCACAAUACCGGAUCG